rnacentral:rRNA from 1 species
AACGAACGCUGGCGGCAUGCCUAACACAUGCAAGUCGAACGAGACCUUCGGGUCUAGUGGCGCACGGGUGCGUAACGCGUGGGAACCUGCCCUUAGGUUCGGAAUAACUCCCCGAAAGGGGUGCUAAUACCGGAUAAUGUCUUCGGACCAAAGAUUUAUCGCCUUUGGAUGGGCCCGCGUUGGAUUAGCUAGUUGGUAGGGUAAAAGCCUACCAAGGCGACGAUCCAUAGCUGGUCUGAGAGGAUGAUCAGCCACACUGGGACUGAGACACGGCCCAGACUCCUACGGGAGGCAGCAGUGGGGAAUAUUGGACAAUGGGCGAAAGCCUGAUCCAGCAAUGCCGCGUGAGUGAUGAAGGCCUUAGGGUUAUAAAGCUCUUUUACCCGGGAUGAUAUUGACAGUACCGGGAGAAUAAGCUCCGGCUAACUCCGUG